GUGCCCGGGUAGGGCACGUAUCAGAUAUUAAACUGAUAAGAACAGAUACUACACUUGAUCUUAGCCAAAAGGCCGAGAAGCGAUACCCACAAAUGGUCAACAGUAGCAACCACAUUCUAGGAGACAGUAAAUACGACGACGCCCGGAAAACACCAAGCCGAUGCCGACGAACUAGUGGCGACGAAAGCAGACUGCGGAGUUGGCACACGUCAGCAGCAUCUGGGUCCAAAGCUGCCGACACACCAAACCGACGCUCGACACCCGACGGCUGACGAGGACGAAAAAAGCAGACGAUGAUCAACUUCAGCCAAUACUGAGAAAACCUAGUCGGCCGACGAACAAAAAGUGCCCGACAGCCAACCGUUGGCUUGGUGUGUUCCGGGCUUCAUGUGCACUUAUAUGCCGAUUGCCAACAAAACACAGACAUUUGAUGCAGUUUUACUUACUGCUUGCGGCGACUCAUGACCAGGAUCUUUUAUCGCUGGGAUCGCUCCAUCUUUCCGUUUCAAACAAUCUGCAAAUCCAGAGUCGAACUGGGCCUUGUUUAUAAACAUUCAUCACCGAAAUGCCGGGAACAACAAACACACUUGCACAAGUUGCUGCCCCGGAAAAACAAACUGCAUCCACUGUUCCCUUAACGCUGGGUUUUUUGGGAAGCUGAACAAGGUCAUCUUUCCCUCACAACGAAAAACACACCUUUUUGGGGACAUUGUUGAUUUUGUGGUCUGAAAACAAAAUGACUAUUUCUGGAGCAAGUCCUGUGCAGCGCUGCCGAUGACUUCUGUAUCCCGAACGAAGCAAGUUGAUGGGCGUGCUCUUGCUCGCUCUGGUUGAUGUGUGCGCGCGCUUUUCCGGGAGAAGUGUCCAUACAAGGAAUUCCAUCCUUUAUGACAUCAUACAGGGCCAUAAUGAAAAAAAAUCCCGAAAUUUAUGCUGCCUUCACGUGGCAAUUAAUCGCAAAUACGAGUUUUCUAGGUAAAAAUUGCACAUGAAUGCACAUUUCGACACUUGAAUGUGAUGAGCUUGUAAUCACGACUUCAGAAGUGUGAAUUAUCAAAUUUAGCAUGUGAAGGCAACAAUAUACAAUUAUUAGCUGGGGAAGUGGAUUCACUUAUUGUAGAGUUAAAGAAUUAGUUCACUUCAGAAUUAAAAUUUCCUGAUAAUUUACUCACCCCCAUGUCAUCCAAGAUGUUUAUGUCUUUCUUUCUUCAGUCGAAAAGAAAUUAUGGCUUUUGAGGAAAACAUUCCAGGAUUUUUCUCCAUAUAGUGGACUUCAACAGGGUUCAGUGGGUUGAAGGUCCAAAUUGCAGUUUCAGUGCAGCUUCAAAGGGCUGUACACGAUCCCAGCUGUGGAAUAAGGGUCUUAUUUAGCGAAAUGAUUGGUCAUUUUCUAAAAAAAAAAUAAAUAAAUAAAAAUUUAUAUACUUUUUAACCACAAAUGCUCGUCUUGCACUAGCGUCCAUGACUUUGAGCAUUACGUAAUCACACUGGAAAGGUCACGCAUGACAUAAGUGGAAGUACCGACCGAAUGUUUACAAAGCGAAUGUGCACGAUUUUGAGGAGAAAAUGAAAUGGAGUUUUUCAGUACUUUCAUCUACAUCACGCGUGACCUUUCCAGUGUGAUUACGUAAUGUGUGAAGUCGUGGACGCUAGUGCAAGACAAGCAUUUGUGGUUAAAAAGUAUCCUUUAACAAAAGUUACCAUGAGCAUCGUAAUGUUUAAAGCGGAUGUGAUAACAAAUGUCAGUAGACAGGGAAGAUCUUAAAACGAGCAGUUCAAUCAUAAAUCCGUAAGAUCUUACCUUCAUGCUGUGGAAAUACAAACCGGAAGAAUGAACACAACAAGCAAAAAGGGGCGGGGCAACAUAAGGUCCCUUCAGUCACCACAAUGUGUUUUAGUUAUUAUAACCAGGGCUGGAAAUGGCUGAGAUUGGAAAGUUUUUUUUUUUUUUACUUUCAAUGACUUUUCAGAUUAUUUAAAUAUAAAAUAUUAUAUAAUCUAUAAUAACAUGAAAUAGGCCUAUUUCAUGUUUCCUCCAAACAAUAUUUUCUUAAUUAUCAAGCAGGCACAUGAAAGGUCAAUGAACAACAUUUAUGAAUUGUGUGUGGCACAAACAUGUUCAUUCAACAGAAUCUCUGCUUGGAGAAAAUUACCUGUUUGAUUUUGGCCAAAUUAAAGAUACAUUGUUUAGGAAUUACUGAAUUGAACAGGUCACAAACAUUUUAAAUACAAUUGUACAAUGUUAGUUGCUGCAGUCUAUUUACAAAAGCCAUUAAUUAAUUUGAAUGAAUUAUUAUUUUUUAAAAAUCGGUUUGAAUAAAUGAUUCAAUUAUUAAGA